rnacentral:rRNA from 1 species
AUUGAACGCUGGCGGCAGGCUUAACACAUGCAAGUCGAGCGGAAACGAUGAUAGCUUGCUAUCAGGCGUCGAGCGGCGGACGGGUGAGUAAUACUUAGGAAUCUACCUAGUAGUGGGGGAUAGCACGGGGAAACUCGUAUUAAUACCGCAUACGACCUACGGGAGAAAGGGGGCAGUUUACUGCUCUCGCUAUUAGAUGAGCCUAAGUCGGAUUAGCUAGAUGGUGGGGUAAAGGCCUACCAUGGCGACGAUCUGUAGCUGGUCUGAGAGGAUGAUCAGCCACACCGGGACUGAGACACGGCCCGGACUCCUACGGGAGGCAGCAGUGGGGAAUAUUGGACAAUGGGGGAAACCCUGAUCCAGCCAUGCCGCGUGUGUGAAGAAGGCCUUUUGGUUGUAAAGCACUUUAAGCAGUGAAGAAGACUCCUCGGUUAAUACCCGUGGACGAUGACAUUAGCUGCAGAAUAAGCACCGGCUAACUCUGUGCCAGCAGCCGCGGUAAUACAGAGGGUGCAAGCGUUAAUCGGAAUUACUGGGCGUAAAGGGAGCGUAGGUGGCUCGAUAAGUCAGAUGUGAAAUCCCCGGGCUCAACCUGGGAACUGCAUCUGAUACUGUUGAGCUAGAGUAUGUGAGAGGAAGGUAGAAUUCCAGGUGUAGCGGUGAAAUGCGUAGAGAUCUGGAGGAAUACCGAUGGCGAAGGCAGCCUUCUGGCAUAAUACUGACACUGAGGCUCGAAAGCGUGGGUAGCAAACAGGAUUAGAUACCCUGGUAGUCCACGCCGUAAACGAUGUCUACUAGUCGUUGGGUCCCUUGAGGACUUAGUGACGCAGCUAACGCAAUAAGUAGACCGCCUGGGGAGUACGGCCGCAAGGUUAAAACUCAAAUGAAUUGACGGGGGCCCGCACAAGCGGUGGAGCAUGUGGUUUAAUUCGAUGCAACGCGAAGAACCUUACCUGGUCUUGACAUAUCUAGAAUCCUGCAGAGAUGCGGGAGUGCCUUCGGGAAUUAGAAUACAGGUGCUGCAUGGCUGUCGUCAGCUCGUGUCGUGAGAUGUUGGGUUAAGUCCCGCAACGAGCGCAACCCUUGUCCUUAGUUACCAGCGGGUUAAGCCGGGAACUCUAAGGAUACUGCCAGUGACAAACUGGAGGAAGGCGGGGACGACGUCAAGUCAUCAUGGCCCUUACGACCAGGGCUACACACGUGCUACAAUGGUAGGUACAGAGGGCAGCUACACAGCGAUGUGAUGCGAAUCUCAAAAAGCCUAUCGUAGUCCAGAUUGGAGUCUGCAACUCGACUCCAUGAAGUAGGAAUCGCUAGUAAUCGCGGAUCAGAAUGCCGCGGUGAAUACGUUCCCGGGCCUUGUACACACCGCCCGUCACACCAUGGGAGUUGAUUGCACCAGAAGUGGAUAGCUUAACCUUCGGGGAGGCGUUCACCACGGUGUGGUUGAUGACUGGGGUGAAG